rnacentral:rRNA from 1 species
UGCAGCGACGCCGCGUGAGGGAUGACGGCCUAUCGGGUUGUAAACCUCUUUCAGCAGGGACGAAGCGCAAGUGACGGUACCUGCAGAAGAAGCACCGGCCAACUACGUGCCAGCAGCCGCGGUAAGACGUAGGGUGCGAGCGUUGUCCGGAUUUAUUGGGCGUAAAGAGCUCGUAGGCGGCUUGUCGCGUCGACCGUGAAAACUUGGGGCUCAACCCCAAGCCUGCGGUCGAUACGGGCAGGCUAGAGUUCGGUAGGGGAGACUGGAAUUCCUGGUGUAGCGGUGAAAUGCGCAGAUAUCAGGAGGAACACCGGUGGCGAAGGCGGGUCUCUGGGCCGAUACUGACGCUGAGGAGCGAAAGCGUGGGGAGCGAACAGGAUUAGAUACCCUGGUAGUCCACGCUGUAAACGUUGGGCGCUAGGUGUGGGGGGCCUCUCCGGUUCUCUGUGCCGCAGCUAACGCAUUAAGCGCCCCGCCUGGGGAGUACGGCCGCAAGGCUAAAACUCAAAGGAAUUGACGGGGGCCCGCACAAGCGGCGGAGCAUGCGGAUUAAUUCGAUGCAACGCGAAGAACCUUACCUGGGUUUGACAUGGCCGCAAAACUUCCAGAGAUGGGAGGUCCUUCG